rnacentral:rRNA from 1 species
AUUAAACGCUGGCGGCAUGCCUUACACAUGCAAGUCGAACGGCAGCACGGGGCAACCUGGUGGCGAGUGGCGAACGGGUGAGUAAAGCAUCGGAACGUGCCCUGGAGUGGGGGAUAACGUAGCGAAAGUUACGCUAAUACCGCAUAUUCUGUGAGCAGGAAAGCAGGGGAUCGCAAGACCUUGCGCUCUGGGAGCGGCCGAUGUCGGAUUAGCUAGUUGGUGGGGUAAAGGCCUACCAAGGCGACGAUCCGUAGCGGGUCUGAGAGGAUGAUCCGCCACACUGGGACUGAGACACGGCCCAGACUCCUACGGGAGGCAGCAGUGGGGAAUUUUGGACAAUGGGCGGAAGCCUGAUCCAGCCAUGCCGCGUGAGUGAAGAAGGCCUUCGGGUUGUAAAGCUCUUUCGGCCGGGAAGAAAUCGCAUGGGUCAAUACCCUGUGUGGAUGACGGUACCGGAAUAAGAAGCACCGGCUAACUACGUG